GACGAACGCUGGCGGCGUGCUUAACACAUGCAAGUCGAACGGAAAGGCCCUGCUUUUGUGGGGUGCUCGAGUGGCGAACGGGUGAGUAACAUGUGAGUAACCUGCCCUUGACUUUGGGAUAACUUCAGGAAACUGGGGCUAAUACCGGAUAGGAGCGCCUGCUGCAUGGUGGGGGGUGUAAAGUUUCGGCGGUUGGGGAUGGACUUGCGGCUUAUCAGCUUGUUGGUGGGGUAGUGGCUUACCUAGGCUUCGACGGGGAGCCGGCCUGAGGGGUGGACCGGCCACAUGGGGCCGGAGAUACGGCCCAGACGCAUACGGGAGGCAGGGGUGGGGAAGGUAACACAAUGGGCGGAAGGCUGAUUCGGCAACGCCGGGUGCGGGAUGACGGCCUUCGGGUUGUAGACCGCUUUCGCCUGUGACGGAACGUGAGUGACGGUAAUGGGAGAAGAAGCACCGGCUAACUACGUG
rnacentral:rRNA from 1 species